GACGAACGCUGGCGGCGUGCCUAAUACAUGCAAGUCGAACGCAGUGGGGACGGGUGAGUAACACGUGGGUAACCUCCCAUCAGAGGGGAUAAAACUUGGAAAAAGGUGCUAAACCGAUACUGAUGGAUGGACCCGCGGUGCAUUAGCUAGUUGGUGAGGUCACGGCUCACCAAGGCCACGAUGCAUAGCGGACCUGAUAGGGUGAUCGGCCACACUGGAACUGAGACACGGCCCAGACGCCGACGUGAGGCAGCAGUAGGGAAUCUUCGGCAAUGGAAGAAAGGCUGACCGAGCAACGCCGCGUGAGGGAAGAAGGUUUUCGGAUCGUAGAACUCUGUUGUUAGAGAAGCGGUAUCUAACCAGAAAGCAACGGCUAACUACGUGCCAGCAGCCGCGGUAAUUC
rnacentral:rRNA from 1 species